CUCUCUCUCUCUCUCUCUCUCUCUCUCUCUCUCUCUCUCUCUCUCUCUCUCCCCAUUCUCCCACCAUGAUGGGCUGAGCCGUCUGAGACCGUGAGCCAAGUGAAAUAACUUCCCUUUUAAACUGUUCCUCUCCUGUACUGAGUCCCAGGGAUGAGAAAGCCAAGUGUCCCAGAGGAAUAUCAUAAAACAACGACAAGCACACGCAAGGUGAAAGGAAUGACCAAACAAGAAUGGACCCCACUUGAAGAUGAGGAAACUGAGUCCCAGAGAAGCUUCCGCCGGCACACAGCAGGGUACUCGGUGGCUGUUGACAGCAAGCACAGGACCCCUGCAUGCUCAAGCUAGAUCUAAUGCCAGCAUGGAGAAUGGUGAGGAAGAAGAGGGAGGCAAGAAGAGGAGGAGGACGAGAAGAGGGGAGGAGGAAGAGGAGGAGAAGGAAAAUCAAAUUCAAAUAGUGACCCCACAGUCUUCAAGAGCAUCUUAGUGGCAAGCUGACUGUACAAAAAUGCACACGGUUUACGAUGAACCAACUUAGAGAUUAACAGUGUGGGACGCAAAUGUCUGUUGUUCUAAGUCACUGAGAGUGCAACUUUGUCUAUGACUCAACACACCCUUACCCAGCCUCUCACUGUGAUGGGGGUCCUCGAGUUCAAGACAUCACAGCAGUGUUCUCAUGGGUGCUCCACACCCCCUCUCUUCCCCUUCAUACAGCACAGAACCCAAUCAUACGACCCUCUUGUUGCUGUGUUCCAAACUGCAUGGGUAGCGGAAGGAAGCAGUCAGAUGGUAGCCACCUUGUUCAUGUUUCAAACUACAGCAGCUUUUACAGAAGUUAUAGACAAACUCACAGGGACCUGGGUGAAAUGAUGCCAGAAACAAUGAGGAACCAAAAGAGAGAAAUUAAAAACUCAAAAGAUGUUCACAAUUAUGAUCAUUUCCUAUGGGCUAAUUGGUCCUCCACCCAUCACGUACUGGAUCUAAAACAAAAAUACCAUAAAAGUAAAUUAUCCUCUCAGAUUACAGAAGAAAAACAUUGAACUUGAGAGUGCCUGAGCUACUUCCCAAGACCCCACUGUCUUAUAAAUGGUAGGGCAAUUUGAAUAUAAAUAUGUCUGCCCCAGAGCCUGGCUCUUCACCCCCAUCUCCGUGAAAGAAAUGAGCUAUUUUCUGAGCUGCCUCAGAGAAAGGACGUCUAAUUCCUGAGUCACCAUUCUCAUAUGCCAACCUUACCACUAAUUUGUUGGGCGUCACCUCAGCAAGAUGCCUGUAGGUAUUUUUUUUACUUGAAAACUGAGAGAUUCUGCCAGUUACCACCCAGUACCCCAUGAGCUAGAGUGAAGGGAGGUAUGUAACACUUGAGAAGAAAGACUGAAAAGUGUUAUAAAUAGCAUGAUUACAAGCAGCCAUAAUUCAGAUAGAGAAUGUCGUGUGCAAGUUCAAACAUAAGCUGGAAUUAAGCCUCAUAAAUAUAAAAGAAUGGAAGGCAUACAGCUCUUUGCAUUUUAACAAUAACUAUGUAAUCUAAUCUUAGGUUAGCCAGGCAUCCCAAUAGCAUCCUCAGAAAGACAGCCUGAGAGGCAGAGGUACAUCCUCACCACCACCAACGUUUUGAGUAUGUGGCUAACCUGAGACACAGCUGUAAUAACUGUUAGGACAAAUUAUAGUAGUAAGAGUUGACAGUUUGUACCACGUGUAUGACUUCCAAGCUCUUUAUGUUAAGGCACUCUUUAUAACAAUCCUAGGGAAGCACGUUCUUUUAAUGGUAACUAAGUGACAGUUACUGAGUCACAAAGCCAUAAAUGGCAACACUAGAAUAAAAAACUAGGCAAUCUCAACUGGGCAAGGUGGAGUACACCUGCAAUUCUAAUGCUGCUGUGCUUAAGGAAAAAAGAUAGUAAGUUCAAGGCUGACCUGAGCUACUUCAUGAGUUCAAACCAGGCUGGGCUAAUGUAAGCAUUUCUCUUAAAAACCAAAACCAAAAAAAUCACAGAAUAAAACAGGAAUCUAGGUACUUCCAGAAAGUAUUGCUACAUAUGUGUGAGAGCUGAAAAAUCUGUUUUCUUCUUCCAUUGGUUUGUUCCUUCAUUCUUCCAUUUUUGUGUUUGUACCAUUUUAUUGUUUUAAGUCUCUGGAUCAUUACCCAGAAGUUCAGCUGCAGGUUCAUGAAUAUCACAGUAAAUAACAUCAAAACCA